AUAUCUCUCUCUCUCUCUCUCUCUCUCUCUCUCUAUCUCUCUCUCUCUCCAUAAAAAAUAAAAUAAAAUAAACCUCCCAAACUCUCAAGUCUCUUCUCCAUAAAAAAUAAAAUAAAAUAAACCUCCCAAACUCUCAAGUCUCUUAUCAAUGGCUUCUGCCACCAUAACAUUCCCAAUCGUCAUCACCACCGAGUCUCUAGACUCCCUCCUCUCUCACCAAACUCUGAUAAAUCAUUUCCAAUCUUCACUUCCCACAGUCUCAGCUUCUC
rnacentral:lncRNA from 1 species